UCAAUAUUUAAUUUUCGAGCACUUAUGCGCCGAGCGAUCACAUAAACAUGAUCAGUGGAGUUGGAGUCCCAGUUCACUCUGCACGGAGCUGUGUCCACAUAAUCAGGAUCGUCCUUCACUGGCUUGCUACAGUUCAAGAUAACUCGUACCUCGGAUCACCACAGGUUGUUGGAUCAUUCUUGAGUCGAAACGGAUGUUUUAUGUUUGUGAGUUUGCCACAUGAAGAAGGUGGACAAUUUGUUUGGUUAUUAUUACUAUUGGUAGCCUCACAUGUUUGAUGAUGAUGAUGAUACACUAAUAUCAAAAUAACAACCGUAGUUUGGAGGAAGCAUACGGAUGAUUCCAUUAGAGCAGGAGAAGGGUUAUUCUCUGCAAGGGAUCAUGAUAUCAGAAGGAUCAUGAAUGUAAGGAUAUAAUUGUCUUUGCCCGAGUCAAAGUCUUUUGUGAUAGAUCAAUCCAUUUAAAACUUUAUUUCUACUUGAGUAAUGAUACAUAGACACCCUUAGGUGGCAAUACACCCUUUGACACCCACACAAAAAUCUGACACGUAGUCACGUGGACCCCGCACAAACACACUUUCUCUUUUCUCUCCUCUUCUCUCUUCCUAAUGCAUGGGAUGUACAAGGGUGUAUGAGAAUAAAGAGUGUCUAUGUAUCAUUACUCUUCUAGUUUGAUUAAACUCUCGGUUAGUGGACAAUGAGUUUAGUCCUUGAAUUAGUUGAUCAUUAGACUAGACGUAGAGUUUUGAUUAAGAAACAAGCUUGUUAAUUGUAUGUUUUUGGCCCGUUUAUUUGAUUGUAUAAAAUAUGAUAAUGACUUUCACGAUAUAAUAAUGAUUAUUUAAAUUAAA